rnacentral:rRNA from 1 species
UACGGAGGGUGCAAGCGUUAUCCGGAUUCACUGGGUUUAAAGGGUGCGUAGGUGGGUCUGUAAGUCAGUGGUGAAAUCUCCCGAGCUUAACUUGGAAACUGCCAUUGAUACUAUAGGUCUUGAAUACUGUGGAGGUCAGCGGAAUAUGCAUGUAGCGGUGAAAUGCUUAGAUAUGACAUAGAACACCAAUUGCGAAGGCAGCUGGCUACACAAAUAUUGACACUGAGGCACGAAAGCGUGGGGAUCAAACAGG